UGUGGCCGCAUCAUGUUGAAACAACAGUUCCCGUACGAUCACCGAAGUUAAGCAAUGUCGAACCUGUUCAGUACCUAGAUGGGUGACCGCUUAUGUAUGCCAGGUGC